AUUGAACGCUGGCGGCAGGCCUAACACAUGCAAGUCGAGCGGGGUUUUCGGACCUAGCGGCGGACGGGUGAGUAAUGCGUAGGAAGCUGCCCGAUAGAGGGGGAUACCAGUUGGAAACGACUGUUAAUACCGCAUAAUGUCUAUGGACCAAAGUGUGGGACCUUCGGGCCACAUGCUAUCGGAUGCGCCUACGCGUGAUUAGCUCGUUGGUGAGGUAAUGGCUCACCAAAGCGACGAUCUCUAGCUGGUUUGAGAGGAUGAUCAGCCACACUGGAACUGAGACACGGUCCAGACUCCUAUGGGAGGCAGCAGUGGGGAAUAUUGGACAAUGGGCGCAAGCCUGAUCCAGCCAUGCCGCGUGUGUGAAGAAGGCCCUCGGGUUGUAAAGCACUCUCAGCGAGGAGGAAGGGUGGUGUGUUAAUAGCACAUCAUUUUGACGUUACUCGCAGAAGAAGCACCGGCUAACUCUGUGCCAGCCGCCGCCGUAAAAC
rnacentral:rRNA from 1 species